GGGACCGUAGCUCAACUGGCAGAGCACUAGGAACAAGAGGAUGCGGGUUCGAACCCUGCCGGUCCAA
rnacentral:tRNA from 1 species